rnacentral:rRNA from 1 species
GUGGUUUAAUUCGAUGAUACGCGAGGAACUUACCUGGGCUUAAAUGUAGAGCGACAGAUUGUGAAAGCAGUCCUUCUUCGGACGAUCUACAAGGUGCUGCAUGGUUGUCGUCAGCUCGUGCCGUGAGGUGUCGGGUUAAGUCCCAUAACGAGCGCAACCCUUAUCGUUAGUUGCCAGCGGGUCAAGCCGGGGACUCUAGCGAGACUGCCACCGUAAGGUGUGAGGAAGGUGGGGAUGACGUCAAAUCAGCACGGCCCUUAUGUCCAGGGCUACACACGUGUUACAAUGGCAAGUACAAAGGGCAGCUACCAGGUGACUGGAUGCUAAUCUCUAAAGCUUGUCUCAGUUCGGAUCGGAGUCUGCAACUCGACUCCGUGAAGUUGGAUUCGCUAGUAAUCGCGCAUCAGCCAUGGCGCGGUGAAUACGUUCCCGGGCCUU